AAAAUAAUUAAAACAAGUGGAAAUACUUCAAAUUUACUGUCGCACCUUAAAAAUAGGCACCAGGCUGCAUACACAAAAUGUGUAAGCAAGAGCUCCUCAAAAGAAGACGCAGAUUCAAUACAACCAACGAUUUCAAAAUCGUUCAUGAAUGCGGAAAAUUGCAAGGACAAAACUAAGCAAGUUACUGAAUCAUUGAUAUAUAUGAUUUGCAAAGAUAAUUUGCCUGUGCGUUGUGUUGACAAGGAGGGUCUCUCAAAUUUCUUAAAAACAUGUGUACCCAAAUAUGAGCUUCCAAGUCGUACAA